rnacentral:rRNA from 1 species
GAACUGCGGAAGGACAUUGUCGAAUCCUGCAAAAGCAGAACGACCAGAGAA